CAAAAUGUGGCUAAAUUAGUAAAGUACCUCCCUUACACUGAGGGGAUAUCCGUGCAAUUCGGAUCAUUUUGA
rnacentral:tRNA from 1 species